CUUCACCGAGCCCAGCCACAACGGCCGGUCCUCGAACCGCUCCUGGCCGUACGUCGCCAGCAGCGCACCCGCCUC
rfam:Streptomyces sp. CB02056 scaffold30, whole genome shotgun sequence.